rnacentral:lncRNA from 1 species
AUGGAUAGAAUAUACGCAAGAGUUGUAUAUAGUAAUGCAAAUAGCAUUACAACUCUAUUUUGUGAUAUACAAUAUGAUAAAUGUCAUAACAUCAUCUGGAAAUACUUUUAUAUAAAUAAUAUUUUUAUUUAAUCAUUUCGGCAUCUAUGUAUUAUGGAGCAGCCACGAUUGUAGGGGUUGGCAGCAACAGGUUUGUCAUUAUUCUGAUCGGAAAGUUUACGCUCGCUCGGCCCAUGCAUUUCUUUUUGUAUGUUUUUAUCGUCUAGUUUGCCAUGGUUGAUUGCAGUCAUGCUAAGAAGAAGAAAGCAAAAGAACCAAACCUUCAUGUUGGAAUUUGGCUGUGCCAUAAAACCUCAAAUGUUUUAUUUGGUUCUUUAAGAUAACUAGUAUAGGUCUCUUUUGUAUUAUGCAAUUGUAAGGAUUACAUUCUACAGAUUUAUACUUUCUAA